AUACUGGAUAUUAGGCUAUGCCUGGAAUGGUUUGCCUUUGAAAUGUUUUUUUUCGCCUAAGGAUAGGUCUGCGGCUGAUUAGGUCGUUGGUGGGGUAAUGGCCCACCAAGCCGAUGAUCGGUACGGGUUGUGAGAGCAAGGGCCCGGAGAUGGAACCUGAGACAAGGUUCCAGACCCUACGGGGUGCAGCAGGCGCGAAACCUCCGCAAUGUACGAAAGUGCGACGGGGGGAUCCCAAGUGUUAUGCUUUUUUGUAUGACUUUUCAUUAGUGUAAAAAGCUUUUAGAAUAAGAGCUGGGCAAGACCGGUGCCAGCCGCCGCGGUAACACCGGCAGCUCGAGUGGUAGCUGUUUUUAUUGGGCCUAAAGCGUUCGUAGCCGGUUUGGUAAGUCUUUGGUGAAAGCUUGUAGCUUAACUAUAAGAAUUGCUGGAGAUACUAUUAGACUGGAAGUCGGGAGAGGUUAGAGGUACUACCGGGGUAGGGGUGAAAUCCUAUAAUCCUGGGAGGACCACCUGUGGCGAAGGCGUCUAACUGGAACGAUCUUGACGGUGAGUAACGAAAGCCAGGGGCGCGAACCGGAUUAGAUACCCGGGUAGUCCUGGCCGUAAACGAUGUGGACUUGGUGUUGGAAUGGCUUUGAGUUGUUCCGGUGCCGAAGGGAAGCUGUUAAGUCCACCGCCUGGGAAGUACGGUCGCAAGACUGAAACUUAA
rnacentral:rRNA from 1 species